rnacentral:rRNA from 1 species
AUUGAACGCUGGCGGCAUGCCUUACACAUGCAAGUCGAACGGUAACAGUUCUUCGGAUGCUGAAGAGUGGCGAACGGGUGAGUAAUACAUUGGAACGUGCCUAGUAGUGGGGGAUAACUACUCGAAAGAGUGGCUAAUACCGGAUGAGAUCUAAGGACGAAAGCAGGGGAUCGAAGGACCUUGUGCUACUAGAGCGGCCGAUGCCAGAUUAGGUAGUUGGUGGGAUAAAAGCUGACCAAGCCGACGAUCUGUAGCUGGUCUGAGAGGACGAUAAGCAACACUGGGACUUAGACAAGGCCCAGACUCCUACGGGAGGCAGCAGUGGGGAAUUUUGGACAAUGGGCGCAAGCCUGAUCCAGCAAUGCCGCGUGCAGGAUGAAGGCCUUCGGGUUGUAAACUGCUUUUGUACGGAACGAAAAGCCCUGGGUUAAUACCCUGGGGUCAUGACGGUACCGUAAGAAUAAGCACCGGCUAACUACGUGCCAGCCGCCGCAGUAA